rnacentral:rRNA from 1 species
UACGGAGGGGGCUAGCGUUGUUCGGAAUUACUGGGCGUAAAGCGCACGUAGGCGGCUUUGUAAGUUAGAGGUGAAAGCCCGGGGCUCAACUCCGGAAUUGCCUUUAAGACUGCAUCGCUUGAACGUCGGAGAGGUGAGUGGAAUUCCUAGUGUAGAGGUGAAAUUCGUAGAUAUUAGGAAGAACACCGGUGGCGAAGGCGGCCCACUGGUCCGGUACUGACGCUGAGGUGCGAAAGCGUGGGGAGCAAACAGG